UGUGGAGGCCGAGGCAGACUUCCCACCAACACCUGGCGAGCGGGAGCCUUGGACGAAGAGUUUAAGGAGGCUCUCGGAGUGUGGAGGUGCAAGGUCCACCCCUGAAAGCGCGUGUCUCCUUAAAUUUUGUGCUGUUUCUCCUGCUAGUCCCGCCCCAGUCCCAGCCUGAGUCCUGACCACUGCGGGUGCAACUUCUGAAUUACCUGGCUCCUCCACAGCUUUUGGGGUUGCCCGCCCGUGUAGAAGCCCACCUCCCCUGAGCAAGGUGAAUCUCCUCUCACUUGAAGAUCAGAAAUUGAGAUCUUUCCUGUUCAAUUAAGGAUACGUUUCCAGUAAGUGCAGACAUGGAAGAAAAUAGCAGACAAACAGUGGCUAAGAUGGCAGACUCUGCAUUUGAUCUCCUUAAAGUGCAGAUCCGACUCUAGAGAGCUAUGCUGGGCCUGGGACUUUGCACUUGUAACUAGUCACCAGAUGAUGCUACUGUCCUUGGUUAGGAACCACAGGAGUUACUUAGCUCCUGUAAAGAGGAGACCUCGAACUCAGGUCUGGCCGCACAAUUUGCAGGUUCCAAUACAGAAUGAAAAGGAACACAGUCCAAAUCAUUGGAUCACACACCUGUUGGACUUUUGGGAUGUAUGUCCUGAGCUCCUUGGUCGAGCCCUGCAAGUGGUGACUGUCAAUGAGAUCAUCUGGAAGGCCUGAAGGCUGGACCCAUGGCCUGUCUGCUACCCAUACACGUAUGCAUGUGCAGACACACACACACACACACACACACACACACACACACACACACACACAUAUAUGUGCACUCAUGUGUGCCAGACUCCCAUUGAUUCUCUAACUGCCAGUUUGUCCCAAUCAGUGUCUUGGUCCAGGAGUGAGAUGACAAGUAAAAUAAACAUACCUCCUCUUUACAAGUGGCUCCUUUCUCUAAGUUCCUGUUGUCCAAUAGAACUUUCUUUGCUGAUGGAAAUGUUCUAUAUCUGCUCUGUCCGACACCACGAAAGGCUAUUGAGCCACUUAAAAUGAGACUAGUGUAGAGAACUGAAGUUUAAAUUUUAUUUCAUUUUAAUUAGAAUUUAUACAGCCACCUGUGACCAGUGGCUAGCAAAUCAGACAAUGCAGAUCUAGGGAUCGUCAUGUUUUCCAAUAAAAACUCAGGACCCAGGGCCUGAUAGGUGGGAGUAGAUGUAUAGGGCAAUCUAUUUGGAAUUGGGACUGGACUGUUAAUCUCUAUGCUACAUCUGUGCUUGAGCUCAGAUUUAAAACCUCAUCUUUGUCCCCCUUUUAUACAUUUUUAUUUCUAAUCCUCCCAGCAACUCUGUAAAGAAGAUCAUCUUUAUUUUUGCAGAUGAGGCAACUGAGGCCCAGAGAGCUAAGUGACAGCCUGAGCUCACGCAGCACACUGGGGAUCAGCCUCAUCCCCAGAACUGUGUGGCUCCUGCUCUGGUUCCAAAGCGAGGCUCCUCCCACUGCCUCUCUUUAGGCGCUUUGAAGUCCAUUCAUCAGAGGGUGGCCCAGCCCUCCCACAAA